rnacentral:other from 1 species
CUUGCCCUGCGGUAUUCGAGGAUUGCUCCGAAGGUUUUGAGCCGACACCUAGAUCUCUAGGAGCCCGAGUGGACCGGAGGACGAGGAAUUCCCGGAGGCGCACGCGUCCGGGAAAAGCUCAGAGGCCGGACCCGGGGCACCCCUCUUGUUUUGAGGGUUCAUAAAACCGAGGGGCACACGGUACAGGCGGGGCGCUG